GUGCUCGCUUCGGCAGCACAUAUACUAAAACUGGAACAGCACAGAGAAGAUUAGCAUGGACCCUGUGCAAGGAUCACAAGUAAAUUCGUGAAGCGUUCCAUAUUUUU